rnacentral:rRNA from 1 species
AACGAACGCUGGCGGCAUGCCUAACACAUGCAAGUCGAACGAUGCCUUCGGGCCUAGUGGCGCACGGGUGCGUAACGCGUGGUAAUCUGCCUUUCGGUUCGGAAUAACUCAGGGAAACUUGAGCUAAUCCCGGAUAACGUCGCAAGACCAAAGAUUUAUCAACGAAAGAUGAGCCCGCGUAGGAUUAGCUAGUUGGUUAGGUAAAGGCUCACCAAGGCGACGAUCCUUAGCUGGUCUGAGAGGAUGAUCAGCCACACUGGGACUGAGACACGGCCCAGACUCCUACGGGAGGCAGCAGUGGGGAAUAUUGGACAAUGGGCGAAAGCCUGAUCCAGCAAUGCCGCGUGAGUGAUGAAGGCCGUAGGGUUGUAAAGCUCUUUUACCCGGGAAGAUAAUGACGGUACCGGGAGAAUAAGCCCCGGCUAACUCCGUG